rnacentral:rRNA from 1 species
UACGAAGGGGGCUAGCGUUGCUCGGAAUUACUGGGCGUAAAGCGCACGUAGGCGGCUUUGUAAGUUAGAGGUGAAAGCCCAGGGCUUAACCCUGGAAUUGCCUUUAAGACUGCAUCGCUAGAAUCGUGGAGAGGUGAGUGGAAUUCCGAGUGUAGAGGUGAAAUGCGCAGAUAUCAGGAAGAACACCCGUGGCGAAGGCGGCUCUCUGGUACAUGACUGACGCUGAGACGCGAAAGCGUGGGGAGCAAACAGG